GCGCCCCGGAGGGCGGCGGCCGCGGGGCGCUGGGAUCCCGCCCGCCUUCUCCGCCCUGCACCCCUCCCGCCCCGGGGCUCCUGCCCGGACGGCGGCCGCCGCCGCCUCGUCUUCCCCGAGGGCUCCGCGUCCGUCUCCGCAGCUCGGCCGGGAACCUGGGAACGUGGGAACUCGGACGCAGAAGGACGCGCCCGAGCCAGGACCCGCCGCGGGGUCCCUCUGGCGGGCCGUGGCCGGGGAGAGGACGCGGGCCCUGGCGGUCGAAGACGGACGCAGCGCCCGGAAAGGCGAGCCGGGUCUCCGGCUCCUGGCGCUUCCUGUGAGCUGGCUCGGCGGGGUGCGUCGCCGGGGAGGGAGGGACUGGCCGUGGGGCGAGCAGCCGGGUGGGGAGUGGCUUCUGGGGGCCUUCGCCAGCGGAGGGCCCGCGAGGCCGCCCUCGGAGCGCCGCCAGGUACGUGCGUUUUCCUUGUUUCCCGCGCUCCCAGAGCGCACUCUCGGUAGGGAACGAAUAAAAUCCCGGCUGGUGUGUAAGAGCCUUUCGCUGCAAACGUGUCUUUCUGCGGGAUUCGGGGGGCCGCCGAACGCGGGGUAGACCCCGGCCCAAGGUGUUCCUGCAGCUUCCACCAGGGACCCUUCUCCACUCUCACCUUGGGCUCGGAGCGGGUGCCAGUUUGGAAAUGCUUGUCUCUUCUGCAGCUCCGAUUGAAUUCGCCCGGGAGAAGGUGCGCCCUGCCUCGGCCUCAGAGCUGGGACGACCGGGCUUUGUUCCCCGCAGCCCUCCCCACCCCGUCCUCCUGGAAAAUCCGGAUUUUUUCUAGUAGGGAUGCUCAGUUUUGAGGGGGUUGUUUUCGGAGGAAGCUUGGGUUGGGAAAGCCCGAUAUUGGCCCCAAUCUGGCGGGCAGCUUUCCUUGUCUUGGAGCAGCCGCUCCUAGCCCCCGGAGCAGCCGCUCCUAGCCCCCGGAGCCCCGGACUUAAACGGUUAGGAGACGCCCAUGGGCUUUGGGGGUAUUCUGCGGGGUCCGAGACCGGGUGGCCUGAGCGGGGUACGAGGAGGCCGGGUGGCCUGAGCGGGCUCCUUCCCCUCCCCCAUGUGCACGUCAAACAAAAGAAUCUUCGAACAGUUUUGGGGACAGAACUCCUCGGAAUGUGAGCCUGUCCUCCCCGCCCCCCUUCCUAGGAAGGACAAGGAUCUUUCAACAAAGUUUAGAACAAAGGGCGGAGGCGAAGGAGGCAAGAUGGGCAGUGGGCUCGGAAGCCGGAGUCGAAAGAAGAAUGUUAUAAAAGUCCCUCACUUCCCAGUCUCCGCGCACUCCCAAAUAGCUCAUCAGAGUUUGGGUGGGGACAAAGUGAAUGACCGCCUAGAGUCGGGUUUGGUACCCAUGGCCCGGUUUUCGGCGCGGGCGUCCGGAGCCCGGGGGAAGUUCCCCAAGCUCGUCCCAAGUCGCGGUUGGGGGCGAGAGAGGUCGGGGCACAGCGCGCGGUUUCUCCUGCCGCCUUAGAGGACCGAGACUCGGGGUUCGCGGCUCCCUGGCUGCGCAAGUCUCCUCGCCCCUCCUGCUCCCCCCUCCCCCCCCCCGCCGAAAGACGCUCGGAGCGCACACCCGCCUGCACCAAAGCCAGGGAUCUCAUUUCUCUCAAAAUAAAACUCAACAAGCCAUAAAGGCUCCUGAUUCCAGUGGAAAAGGCGCCGCAGAUUUAUGGUCCCUCCAAAUCCCCACACUCUAAUUAUCCCUGUUUUUAGUUUACUUAUGGGUGGUGACCAAUAAAAUGAUUUUCCAUUUUGAA